GGAUGUGAGGGCGAUCUGGCUGCGACAUCUGUCACCCCAUUGAUCGCCAGGGUUGAUUCGGCUGAUCUGGCUGGCUAGGCGGGUGUCCCCUUCCUCCCUCACCGCUCCAUGUGCGUCCCUCCCGAAGCUGCGUGCUCGGUCGAAGAGGACGACCAUCCCCGAUAGAGGAGGACCGUUCUUCGGUCAAGGGUAUACGAGUAGCUGCGCUCCCCUGCUAGAACCUCCAAACAAGCUCUCAAGAAUUCUGAUACUAUGGGGCUGGGGAUGUGGCUCAAGUAAUAGAGUACUUACCUAGUGAGUGCGAGGCUCUGAGUU
rnacentral:snRNA from 1 species